rnacentral:miRNA from 1 species
AGGGUGACCAGCCAUCCUGGUCUGCCUGGGACUGAGGGAUUCUCCGGGAUUUGGGAUUGUCAGUGCUAAAACCUGGAAAGUC